UACGUAGGGUGCGAGCGUUAAUCGGAAUUACUGGGCGUAAAGCGUGCGCAGGCGGUAAGUUAAGUCUGAUGUGAAAGCCCCGGGCUCAACCUGGGAAUGGCAUUGGAAACUGGCUUGCUAGAGUGUGGCAGAGGGGGGUGGAAUUCCGCGUGUAGCAGUGAAAUGCGUAGAUAUCAGGAGGAACACCGAUGGCGAAGGCAGGUCUCUGGGCUGACACUGACGCUCAUGCACGAAAGCGUGGGGAGCAAACAGG
rnacentral:rRNA from 1 species